CAGCCGCCACGGUAAUACGAAGGGUGCAAGCGUUAAUCGGAAUUACUGGGCGUAAAGCGUGCGUAGGCGGUUUGUUAAGUCUGUUGUGAAAUCCCCGGGCUCAACCUGGGAAUGGCAAUGGAUACUGGCAAGCUAGAGUGUGUCAGAGGAUGGUGGAAUUCCCGGUGUAGCGGUGAAAUGCGUAGAGAUCGGGAGGAACAUCAGUGGCGAAGGCGGCCAUCUGGGACAACACUGACGCUGAGGCACGAAAGCGUUGGGAGCAAACAGGAUUAGAUACCCCAGUAGUCCCUGUCUCUUAUAC
rnacentral:rRNA from 1 species